rnacentral:rRNA from 1 species
GAUGAACGCUGGCGGCGUGCCUAAUACAUGCAAGUCGAGCGAACGGACGAGAAGCUUGCUUCUCUGAUGUUAGCGGCGGACGGGUGAGUAACACGUGGAUAACCUACCUAUAAGACUGGGAUAACUUCGGGAAACCGGAGCUAAUACCGGAUAAUAUUUUGAACCGCAUGGUUCAAAAGUGAAAGACGGUCUUGCUGUCACUUAUCGAUGGAUCCGCGCUGCAUUAGCUAGUUGGUAAGGUAACGGCUUACCAAGGCAACGAUGCAUAGCCGACCUGAGAGGGUGAUCGGCCACACUGGAACUGAGCCACGGUCCAGACGCCUACGGGAGGCAGCAGUAGGGAAUCUUCCGCAAUAGGCGAAAGCCUGACGGAGCAACGCCGCGUGAGUGAUGAAGGUCUUCGGAUCGUAAAACUCUGUUAUUAGGGAAGAACAUAUGUGUAAGUAACUGUGCACAUCGUGACGGUACCUAAUCAGAAAGCCACGGCUAACUACGUG